rnacentral:lncRNA from 1 species
CUUUUGAUGUUGUGAUUGAAUUAAAACAAUUUGUUUAAAAAGACAUCAAUUUCAUUUUCCACGUUGAACAAAAUUUGUUUGAUUCUGCAGCUAAGAAAAAGAAGAGAAUAUGAAGUUUUUAGUUUUAUUUACCGUGCUUGCUUCGAUUUUACUUUUUGUCCAUACCAUAGAAGAGCAUUCACACGAUGAAGAUCACCCUAUGGGCAAACAUGAAAGUUUCGAACAACACGAUGGUCAUAAAGAAACUGAAAAAAGUCAUGAUGAUCACGGACACAAACACGACCAUGACGAUCAUGCAAAGAUUUAAACAUUAUUUGUACUUUUAUUAAUCAAGUUCAAUUAUACCUUUUGUAUAAUUUAAAAUCAAUAAUAUGUAAAAUUACUGUUUGAGUA